rnacentral:lncRNA from 1 species
UCCUAGUCUAGCUGGGGCUUGUGACGGCACUGAGGAAGCAAUCCUUGAGCUCCUCCAAAGGCAGCAACCGUGCCUAUGACUGGUCCUUACAUGAGCCACACAAAGGAGAUCAGGAGAAGGUGAGGCACUACCUGGAAUCCCCUCAGAAACACCAUGUUGGAAUGUGUUCAGUUUACCAGAUGCUGACAGUGGUUGUGAAGCCACCUGUCCUUUCCCAUAAGAAGAAACCACCAGGAACCCAAAUGGAAGAUUUUGAAGUUCUCCAUCUGUGA